AGUGAACGCUGGCGGUAGGCCUAACACAUGCCAGUCGAACGGCAGCACAGUAAGAGCUUGCUCUUACGGGUGGCGAGUGGCGGACGGGUGAGGAAUACAUCGGAAUCUACUUUUUCGUGGGGGAUAACGUAGGAAACUUACGCUAAUGCCGCAUACGACCUACGGGUGAAAGCAGGGGAUCUUCGGACCUUGCGCGAUUGAAUGAGCCGAUGUCGGAUUAGCUAGUUGGCGGGGUAAAGGCCCACCAAGGCGACGAUCCGUAGCUGGUCUGAGAGGAUGAUCAGCCACACUGGAACUGAGACACGGUCCAGACUCCUACGGGAGGCAGCAGUGGGGAAUAUUGGACAAUGGGCGCAAGCCUGAUCCAGCCAUACCGCGUGGGUGAAGAAGGCCUUCGGGUUGUAAAGCCCUUUUGUUGGGAAAGAAAAGCAGCAGGUUAAUACCCCGCUGUUCUGACGGUACCCAAAGAAUAAGCACCGGCUAACUUCGUG
rnacentral:rRNA from 1 species